UGUUAAUUGUUGAUCUUGGAGCCU
rnacentral:misc_RNA from 1 species